AACGCUGGCGGCGUGCCAAUACAUGCAAGUCAACGGCUUUCUAUGAAGCUUGCUUCACUGAGAAGAUAGUGGCGAACGGGUGAGUAACACGUGGGGUAACCUGCCCAUAAGAGGGGGGAUAACAUCCGGAAACGGGUGCUAAUACCGCAUAGUUUUCUUGAUCGCAUGAUCGGGAAAGGAAAGACGGCCUUUGUGCUGUCGCUUAUGGAUGGACCCGCGGCGUAUUAGUUAGUUGGUGAGGUAACGGCUCACCAAGACGAUGAUACGUAGCCGACCUGAGAGGGUGAUCGGCCACAUUGGGACUGAGACACGGCCCAAACUCCUACGGGAGGCAGCAGUAGGGAAUCUUCCGCAAUGGACGAAAGUCUGACGGAGCAACGCCGCGUGAGUGAAGAAAGGUUUUCGGAUCGUAAAACUCUGUUGUCAGAGAAGAACAAGUUGGAGAGUAACUGCUCCAGCCUUGACGGUAUCUGACCAGAAAGCCACGGCUAACUACGUGCCAGCCGCUGC
rnacentral:rRNA from 1 species